rnacentral:rRNA from 1 species
UGGGGAAUAUUGCACAAUGGGGGAAACCCUGAUGCAGCGACGCCGCGUGAGUGAAGAAGUAUUUCGGUAUGUAAAGCUCUAUCAACAGGGAAGAAGCAAGACGGUACCUGAGUAAGAAGCCCCGGCUAACUACGUGCC